rnacentral:rRNA from 1 species
UACGGGGGGGGCAAGCGUUGUUCGGAAUUACUGGGCGUAAAGGGCUCGUAGGCGGCCAACUAAGUCGGAUGGGAAAUCCCCAGGCUUAACCUGGGAACUGCAUCCGAUACUGGAUGGCUUGAAUCCGGGAGAGGGAUGCAGAAUUCCAGGUGUAGCGGUGAAAUGCGUAGAUAUCUGGAGGAAUACCGGUGGCGAAGGCGGCAUCCUGGACCGGCAUUGACGCUGAGUGAGCGAAAGCCAGGGGAGCAAACGGG